ensembl:lncRNA
CCAUAGAUCCCCUAGAAAAGCCCCAUAGAUCCCCUAUAGGGUCCCCAUGGCUGCCCCAUAGAUCCCCUAUAAAAGCCCCAUAGAUGCCCUAUAGGGUCCACAUAGAUCCCCUAUAGGAUCCCUACGGCUGCCCCAUAGAUCCCCUAUAAAAGCCCCAUAGAUCCCCUAUAAAAGCCCUAUGGCUGCCCCAUAGAUGCCCUAUAGGGUCCCCAUGGCUGCCCCGUAGAUGCCCUAUAGGUUCCCCAUGGCUGCCCCAUAGAUCCACUAUAGGAUCCCCAUUGCUGCCCCAUAGAUCCCCUACAGGGUCCCCGUUGCUGCCCCAUAACAGUCCCAUAGAUCCCCUAUGGCUGCCCCAUAGAUCCCCUAUAGGGUACCCAUUGCCGCCCCAUAGAUGCCCAAUAGGGUCCCCAUGGCUGCCCCAUAGAUGGAGCCAUAUAUAGGGUAUCUAUGGGGCAGCCCUAGAGAUUCUAUAGGGGAUCUAUAGGGCAGCCAUGGGGACUCUAUAGGGGAUCUAUGGGGCAGCCAUGAAGAUCUAUGGGGCAGCCAUGGGGAUUUAUAGGGGAUCCAUGGGGCAGCCAUAGGGGAUCUAUGGGGCAGCCAUGAGGAUUCUAUAGGGGAUCUAUGGGGCAGCUCUGGGGAUUUAUAGGGGAUCUAUGGGGCAGCCCUGGGGAUUCUAUGGGGCAGCCAUAGAGAGUCCAUAGGAGAUCUAUGGGGCAGCCAUGGUGAUUUAUAGGGGAUCUAUAGGGCAGCAUAGGGAUCCUAUAGGGGAUCUAUGGGGCAGUCAUAGGGGAUCUAUAGGGCAGGGUGGGGGAGGGGCGGCCCCACAGCUGCCCCAUAGAGACCCCCCCGAUGUCCCCAAUGCCCCCAAUAUCCCCAAUGUCCCCAAUGUCCCCAAUGUCCCCCUAUCCCCAAUGAUGUCCCCAAUGUCCCCAAUAACCCCAUUGCCCCCAAUGAUGUCCCCAAUAUCCCCCACUGCCCCCAAUGUCCCCAAUGUCCCCAAUGUCCCCAAUAUCCCCCACUGCCCCCAAUGUCCCCAAUGUCCCCAAUGUCCCCAAUAUCCCCCACUGCCCCCAAUGUCCCCAAUGUCCCCAAUAUCCCCCAUUGCCCCCAAGGUCCCCAAUGUCCCCCAUGUCCCCCUAUCCCCAAUGAUGUCCCCAAUGUCCCCACUGUCCCCAAUACCCCCCAUUGCCCCCAAUGUCCCCAACGUCCCCUUUGACCCCAAUAUCCCCCAUUGCCCCCAACGUCCCCAUAUCCCCCC